rnacentral:rRNA from 1 species
AGUCGAGCGGAACGAGUUAUCUGAACCUUCGGGGAACGAUAACGGCGUCGAGCGGCGGACGGGUGAGUAAUGCCUAGGAAAUUGCCCUGAUGUGGGGGAUAACCAUUGGAAACGAUGGCUAAUACCGCAUGAUGCCUACGGGCCAAAGAGGGGGACCUUCGGGCCUCUCGCGUCAGGAUAUGCCUAGGUGGGAUUAGCUAGUUGGUGAGGUAAGGGCUCACCAAGGCGACGAUCCCUAGCUGGUCUGAGAGGAUGAUCAGCCACACUGGAACUGAGACACGGUCCAGACUCCUACGGGAGGCAGCAGUGGGGAAUAUUGCACAAUGGGCGCAAGCCUGAUGCACCAUGCCGCGUGUGUGAAGAAGGCCUUCGGGUUGUAAAGCACUUUCAGUCGUGAGGAAGGUGGUGUAGUUAAUAGCUGCAUCAUUUGACGUUAGCGACAGAAGAAGCACCGGCUAACUCCGUGCCAGCAGCCGCGGUAAUACGGAGGGUGCGAGCGUUAAUCGGAAUUACUGGGCGUAAAGCGCAUGCAGGUGGUUUGUUA